rnacentral:misc_RNA from 1 species
GAUGAAGAACGUAGCGAAAUGCGAUAAGUAGUGUGAAUUGCAGAAUUCAGUGAAUCAUCGAAUCUUUGAACGCACAUUGCGCCCUUUGGUAUUCCUUAGGGCAUGCCUGUUCGAGCGUCAUUUGAAACCUCAAGCUCAGCUUGGUGUUGGGUGUCUGUCCCCGCCUCACCGCGGGGACUCGCCUCAAAAUCAUUGGCGGCCGGUACGUUGGCUUCGAGCGCAGCAGAAACGCGAACUCGAGGCCCGGCGGAUCGGCGACCAGAAGUCACUUCUUCACAGUUUGACCUCGGAUCAGGUAGGGAUGCCCGCUGAACUUAAGCAUAUCAAUAAGCGGAGGA